UAUAUACACAGAGAACAUGAAACAAUGGGUGUUACCAUACACUGUAACUAGAGUGAUCAGGUCCUUUUCUGCAGAACUGCUGCUUAGCCAGUCGGUCCCCUAGAGCAUAGCAGUCGGAUACCUUGAGCAUAACAGCAUUCUGGCUAUGCCCUAAUCUGAAGAUCAGGAUGAGGAUUGGCACAGAUCUACUAAAUCAGCUCUACAGCAGAUGGGCAAUCCUCUUGCACUAGGAGAAUUGCCAGGGAGCCAGCUUUCUGGCCUUUGUGAAUCUGGAACAAUGCAAAAAGGCCUAGAAACCAGUGCCCCGAGCGAGACUAAGUGGCACAUAUUGGCUAACGUGUGGUGGACGGUACCGCAGCAGGAAUCGCAAGCCACCAUAGUCCUUACCACCAGGGAAGGAUGGGCCUACAUACUCCCGGAGGUGGAAGACUAUCCUCACAUGGUUUCACUCUCCCGCUUGUCGCAGCGCUCCUUAUGAGCGUCACCGCUGAAGGAGCCACCACCUCCUCCGUGAAUGCCUGGUUGGUGUUAGCCCAAAGUGCCGUUAAUGCAACAUCGUUUUGCUUACCGCGUACGUAUGCCGUGGGUGCUGUGAUGGAAACCUGUUUCAUCGGUGUCUGCACCGACCUGAUCCUCGUCCAGCACUAUUCUUUACUGAAGACAAUUGAUAAGACUAUUACAUAUAUGGAUUUGUAUGCUUUGGGUCCCGCCCAAUAUAAUCUAGAUGUGUCUAUGUAUUCAUUUCGUCUGGCCAAUGUAACUGUUGCCUCCUUUUGUAUGUUUUUUGUAAAUGCCAGGCACAUUGGGGCAAAUCACACCAAUGUGGAGUUAAUCUGUAAUGAAAGCACUGAGGUUUCAUUUGCAUACGGGCAUAUGAAAUUGCCCACAGGAUGGUUUCUCUUAUGUGGCAGGACCGCUUAUUCUUUCAUUCCGGCCAAUAGUUCAGGGGGCCCCUGUGCCCUUGGCCGUGUGGCCCCCCCUCAUUUUUCCUCAUCCUUCACAAGUAUCUGCCCACCACCGGAGAGACACCAUCCCUUUUGACUCCACCUGUAAAGCCGACGUGACAUUAUUUUCCGAGGCCAAAGCUGCGGCCCUUGCUUUUUCAUUGAUUGGUAUUCCUGGGUUGGUGGUGCAUAAUUAUCAUGCGGUGGAACACCUUGCGUGUGCUGUCGCAAAAGCCAUCAACCUGACCCCUACAGUCCUCGCACUCCUUUCACACGAGUUAGGCAAGGUACACCAGGGAAUGCUGCAAGAUAGGCUAGCUAUUGAUUAUUUGUUACUCCGAUAUGGCCAUCCGUUCCAGGAGUUUGCUGGUAUGUGCUGCUUUAAUGUGACGGACGCCAGGCCCUCCAUUGAGGCCGAUUUACAAUGACUCCGUCAGUUGGCGGUAGGGAUCUGCCAACAGCAAGGGGACACCUGGCUUUGGUCCUGGCUCUUCACGUUACAGAGUUGGGCCGCCCAUCUUGUUCAAGGCCUGCUUAUUGGCCUUAUUUGCCUUAUUGGCUUAUAUUUUUGCUGCCUUUGCGGUCGUGGCUAGUCUCCCAGUGCUGUAUGCGGUUUUUUCUCCACACUGCAUCCUCAUAGUCCUUAGCAUCACUCGAGAAAGUGAGGGGAGGAGUGUAAGGGACUGCAGAAGACUUUGUUACGGCCUAGCCAGGGAACUUCCGCUUUCUCGAGCCGAGAGGCUACUGUGGGACAUAGAUAGCUGUUUUGUUAUUGUAGGAGAUA